rnacentral:tRNA from 1 species
GCUGGGUUAGCUCAGUUGGUUAGAGCAUGGUGAUAAUAACGCCAAGUUCACAGGUUCAAUCCCUGCUUACUGCA